UCCCGAUUUUACAGAUCUAGAGCCUGGAACUCAGGCGCAGUUAAUUUUAUGCAAGCGCACAGCUUUGAUCCCAACUCUAUUCCUUUGAUCCCAAGCUCAGAGCUAUUCCACGGAGGGAAGCCUUCUUGGGCACAUCCUCCCGCACGGCAGCCUGGAGUUUAAGAGCACAGCCGUAAUAUGUGCUGGCUGUAUAGACGGGGGCAAGUUUCUCAGCCUCUCUUGUUCCAGUUUCCUCGUCUGAGAAAUGGGGAUAAUAAUGAUAGUACACAAACUAUGAGUGUACUAUAAGAAUUAAGCAACCUCCGUAGAGCGUUUAACACAAGGCCCCGGAGCAUGGUAAGCGCUUUAUGAAUGAAUGUUAGAUGGUUGAGCAAGUUUGGGAGCAUCUUCCAAAACCCAGGAGGCCACGCGAUUCAGAGGCGGCAUUCGCAAGGAGCUGGGGGGGAUAUCGAUCGUUAUACUCCGCCUCUUCCUUCUGCAGUCGCGGAAGCAGUUAGAAGCAGACCAAAAGCUGAAUUCCACGUUUGCUCUGCCUUCAGAGCUCAUUCUCGAAGGCCCACCUCAGACAGCGGCCCUGCGCUGCGCUGGGAGCCAGGACCGGGAGCUGUCCGCGGUGCUGACACGUCUGCGGCAGCAGGCCGGGGUCUAAAUGGUCGGAGAGGGAGUCAGGAGCGCGGCCCGGCGGAUCUUACAGCUUUGGUGUCCUUCGGAGUCAGCUCAUCUAAUGAUUAUACAUGUUCACAGGUCAGGAUCUACAAAGAUGAAAGCCAAAUAUCUCAAC
rnacentral:lncRNA from 1 species